rnacentral:rRNA from 1 species
UACGUAGGGUGCGAGCGUUAAUCGGAAUUACUGGGCGUAAAGCGUGCGCAGGCGGUUUUGUAAGCCAGAUGUGAAAUCCCCGGGCUUAACCUGGGAAUGGCAUUUGGGACUGCAAGGCUUGAGUUUGGCAGAGGAGACUGGAAUUCCUGGUGUAGCAGUGAAAUGCGUAGAUAUCAGGAGGAACACCGGUGGCGAAGGCGGGUCUCUGGACCGUAACUGACGCUGAGACACGAAAGCGUGGGUAGCAAACAGG